rnacentral:rRNA from 1 species
UACAGAGGGUGCGAGCGUUGUCCGGAAUCACUGGGCGUAAAGGGCGCGUAGGCGGGCCCUCAAGUCAAGGGUGAAAGCCCCCGGCUCAACCGGGGAAGUGCCUUUGAUACUGGGGGUCUGGAGGGAGGUAGGGGCGUGCGGAACUUCCGGUGGAGCGGUGAAAUGCGUAGAUAUCGGAAGGAACACCGGUGGCGAAAGCGGCGCGCUGGACCUCUUCUGACGCUGAGGCGCGAAAGCCAGGGGAGCAAACGGG